rnacentral:pre_miRNA from 1 species
CCUUAAUCCCUGCAUCUGACAUGUGGUACUGAGUCAGUAAAACCUUCAGUGCCACUUGUUUGUUGCAAUGGUCAAGGGA